UAGCGUAGGGGGCAAGCGUUGUCCGGAAUCGAUUGGGCGUAAAGAGCGUGUAGGCGGUUCGAUAAGUCGGAUGUGAAAGCCCCGGGCUCAACCCGGGAAGUGCACUCGAUACUGUCGAGCUAGAGUAUCGGAGAGGUUGGUGGAAUUCUCGGUGUAGAGGUGAAAAUUCGUAGAUAUCGAGAGGAACACCGGUGGCGAAGGCGGCCAACUGGACGAAUACUGACGCUGAGACUCGAAAGCGUGGGGAGCAAACAGG
rnacentral:rRNA from 1 species